rnacentral:lncRNA from 1 species
AUAAAGGGCCCAUUGAAUGUAUUUCCCUCUAUAUAUUGCAUGAGUUUGAAGCCAUUUAGGUCAUGAAAUACAGCCUGUUAAAAUGGCGAAGAAAAUGCUUCUGUUAUCAGCCAUGUUUAUUUUGCUGAUGAUUUAUUCUCUGGGACUUGCCUCUGGUGAUAACCGCCUCCUGAGAGGGAUGAAGAAAAUGAGAAAGGAGUUGCCAUUGCCGGAGAAGAAAGUGGAAUUCCUGCAUGGCAUGUAUAAAAAUGGAAGUUUGAUGCAACACAGAAAAGAGAUAAGAGAGAAAUCCAAACACAAAUUGGUUGCAAAAUUGGAAGGUUCAAGGCCAACAGCUCCAGGGCAUAGCCCAGGCAUAGGACAUCAUUAAUAAUUGAAUUUCUGAGGAAUAAAAAUUCAGAAUUUCGAGCUUUUGUUCUUGUCAAGAAUAUGUGAUGUAAAUUAGCGGGUUUUGUACGUGUGGAGUAAAAUAAUUAGUGUGACUUUCUGUAUAAUAUCAAAUGGUAUGUAAUUAAAAAUUUAUAUAUUUUGGUCAUAAAA